rnacentral:lncRNA from 1 species
GUUUUUGUCUGUCUGUUUCUUUGUUUUGUCUCCUCAGAGAGAGCAGGAUCUCCAACUGCAGAGUACUGCAGUCAGUAGCAAUGCAGCUCCACCGUUUAAUACUCUGCACACAGAGUCCAUAACAUUCCUGACUUUUCAACAUUAAUAACCUUCAAAGAGAAGAGAAGUUUAGGCAUCACCUGUUUAUUCAUUUCAUUGCAGAUGCUGCCAAAAGCAUUUCUUUUUAUUGACACUUUUCUAAUUUUUUCCAGAAUGUACAUGUGUCCACUUGCAACCAUGGCAGGACCAUCAAACCCCACCAUGUAGCCACAGACAGAAUCCUUCCAACUGCUGUUUUGUUUCAGGUGAUGCAGUUCCUACAAGUCUGCCCUGUAUUUUCUGUGCUGCUGCACUGGAGAACUGCUAGCAUUCAACUUCAUGAUGCCUGACUUGUGUGUGAAUGCUAAAAUUGUAUCUUCUGCUCUCACCUCAUGCUGAAAAUUCAGAGCACCUCACCUGGGAGCAUGAGAAGUAUCAAGCAGUUUUAUCUUUCCUUUUGAUUAUUCUCCCACAAUAUGAAUGAGGAUGAAAUUACAGUGGCCCUAUGAAAGGACUGUUUUUAUUCACAGAUGGAGGAUGAUGGAUCCUGGAAAGUGGAUGGCAACAUCUGGGAAAGGCAAGCCUUCUGAACAGUUUCUGUUGCUACACCCCAGGUGAAAACUGGUAGAAAUACCAUCUAUUUAUUCAUUGAAUUAUAGCGAAU